AUUGAACGCUGGCGGCAUGCUUUACACAUGCAAGUCGAACGGUAACAGGUUAAGCUGACGAGUGGCGAACGGGUGAGUAAUGCAUCGGAACGUGCCCGGUCGUGGGGGAUAACGCAGCGAAAGCUGCGCUAAUACCGCAUACGAUCUGAGGAUGAAAGCGGGGGACCGUAAGGCCUCGCGCGAUCGGAGCGGCCGAUGUCAGAUUAAGUAGUUGGUGGGGUAAAGGCUCACCAAGCCGACGAUCUGUAGCUGGUCUGAGAGGACGACCAGCCACACUGGGACUGAGACACGGCCCAGACUCCUACGGGAGGCAGCAGUGGGGAAUUUUGGACAAUGGGCGCAAGCCUGAUCCAGCAAUGCCGCGUGCAGGAAGAAGGCCUUCGGGUUGUAAACUGCUUUUGUACGGAGCGAAAAGGCUCUCUCUAAUACAGGGGGUUCAUGACGGUACCGUAAGAAUAAGCACCGGCUAACUACGUGCCAGCCGCCGCCGUAAUAC
rnacentral:rRNA from 1 species